AAAAAAAAGGGCGCUUUCUAAAUUGCAUUUGAAAGCCAGAACUUCCCACAGAAUUCACCUACUCCAACUUUCUCAUUCCACAGAUGGAGAAAGCGAGGAGAGAACAGAGGGAAAGGGAGGAGAGAGGUCGAGAAUAAGAGGGGUAUAAGAAAUAGAAGACAGGUCAGGUGGUCUGGGGAAGUGGAAAGGAACUUCCCGAAUUGACGGGGGGUGCUGAGGGACAAGAGAUAAACUCCAGAGUCAGGUGAGGUGGUGUGGGACAUUCCACCAGGCACUCUCAAGGAAAGAAAAGGCCAUGAGAUGUCCUGGCAGGAGCAGUGGGAAAUGUGAGUCCUGAUCCUGCAGCAGCAAAAAGUAAAGGAUGCUUCGUGCAGCAGGACAAACGCACUGUUUAAAAUCGUCAGGACAUGGAAGCAACCUAAAUGUCUGUCAACAGAGGAAUGGAUAAAGAAGAUAUGGUCUGUCGUCUCCGUCCUCAAGACCGCAAUUCAGCCUCAAGGGCCCACCCCCUCUCCCAAGCUCCUCCCCUUCCGUCUCCUGGACCGCGAGCUUUGGAAUCUAAACUCCUGGCAUCCGGGAUUACGCGGUAGACAGACACAUGUCUGUGCUGGGUUCACUUGCCUAGAAGACUACCGGAAGGCGACACCUACC